AUACUGACACCGGGUUCAGGGUGACCAGGACAUGGAAUGACCCCGAGUGGCAGCUUAUCACUGCACCUCGGUGGGCUGGAACUUUCAAUGGACUCUAAUUGGAUGAGCUUGGAUGUGCAAUUUUUGUCAGUGAGGAGGGUUUCUAGCCCUGCCUAU
rnacentral:snRNA from 15 species